rnacentral:rRNA from 1 species
CCUACGGGAGGCAGCAGUGGGGGAUAUUGCACAAUGGGGGAAACCCUGAUGCAGCGACGCCGCGUGCGUGAAGAAGUAUUUCGGUAUGUAAAGCUCUAUCAGCAGGGAAGAAAAUGACAGUACCUGACCAAGAAGCCCCGGCUAACUACGUUCCAGCAGCCGCGGUAAUACGUAGGGGGCCAGCGUUAUCCGGAUUUACUGGGUGUAAAGGGAGCGUAGACGGUUAUGUAAGUCUGGAGUGAAAGGCCGGGGCUCAACCACGGGACUGCUUUGGAAACUGGGUAACUGGAGUACAGGAGGGGCAGGCGGAAUUCGUGGUGUAGCGGUGAAAUGCGUAGAUAUCAGGAGGAACACCGGCGGCGAAGGCGGCAUGCUGGACUGAAACUGACGUUGAGGCUCGAAGGCGUGGGGAGCAAACAGGAUUAGAUACCCGAGUAGUC